AUGGCGAUCAACAACUUACAUUAUAUGCUUUGGGUUCCAGAGGAUGGAGUAGGUGUGGAAGUCGUUGGUGGCAUCGAACCAGAGGCGGAACUGCUGCUCCCGCUGGCCCUGCCCCUGCGUGAACACGUUGGUGUGCAGCGUGUACGGCUCGCCGGUGACGUUGCCGAGGAACUCGAAGUCGAUCUCAUCGUGCGUCGGCCCCUGCGACGACAGCUGCACAUUCAUACUAGGCGGUGA
rnacentral:rRNA from 1 species